GGAUAUGACCAUAGAGGUUGCC
rnacentral:siRNA from 1 species